rnacentral:rRNA from 1 species
GCGGCGGACGGGUGAGUAACACGUGGGUAACCUACCUAUAAGACUGGGAUAACUCCGGGAAACCGGGGCUAAUACCGGAUAAUAUUUUGAACCGCAUGGUUCAAUAGUGAAAGACGGUUUCGGCUGUCACUUAUAGAUGGACCCGCGCCGUAUUAGCUAGUUGGUAAGGUAACGGCUUACCAAGGCGACGAUACGUAGCCGACCUGAGAGGGUGAUCGGCCACACUGGAACUGAGACACGGUCCAGACUCCUACGGGAGGCAGCAGUAGGGAAUCUUCCGCAAUGGGCGAAAGCCUGACGGAGCAACGCCGCGUGAGUGAUGAAGGUCUUCGGAUCGUAAAACUCUGUUGUUAGGGAAGAACAAAUUUGUUAGUAACUGAACAAGUCUUGACGGUACCUAACCAGAAAGCCACGGCUAACUACGUGCCAGCAGCCGCGGUAAUACGUAGGUGGCAAGCGUUAUCCGGAAUUAUUGGGCGUAAAGCGCGCGUAGGCGGUUUCUUAAGUCUG